AGUCUGCAACUCGACUACAUGAAGCUGGAAUCGCUAGUAAUCGCGGAUCAGAAUGCCGCGGUGAAUACGUUCCCGGGUCUUGUACACACCGCCCGUCACACCAUGGGAGUCAGUAACGCCCGAAGCCGGUGACCCAACCUAAUCAGGAGGGAGCCGUCGAAGGCGGGACGGAUGACUGGGGUGAAGUCGUAACAAGGUAAC
rnacentral:rRNA from 1 species